rnacentral:rRNA from 1 species
CAGCAGUCGCCACGGUAAUACGUAGGGUGCGAGCGUUAAUCGGAAUUACUGGGCGUAAAGCGUGCGCAGGCGGUUGUGUAAGACAGGUGUGAAAUCCCCGGGCUUAACCUGGGAACUGCGCUUGUGACUGCACAGCUAGAGUAUGGCAGAGGGGGGUGGAAUUCCACGUGUAGCAGUGAAAUGCGUAGAGAUGUGGAGGAACACCGAUGGCGAAGGCAGCCCCCUGGGCCAAUACUGACGCUCAUGCACGAAAGCGUGGGGAGCAAACAGGAUUAGAUACCCCCGUAGUCCCUGUCUCUUAUAC